GUGAAUAAGGGCCUAAAGUUCCAUGAGAUGUUGGACUUGACAAAGUUCGGGUAUAGUUCAACUAUUCACCGAACUGCUAAACGGUGGCAAUGGAACAGAUUAGAAGUUUGAAACAUAAUACAAGAAGAUUCAACCAAAUCAGACCAGCA
rnacentral:lncRNA from 12 species